rnacentral:rRNA from 1 species
GAGUUUGAUCCUGGCUCAGAUUGAACGCUGGCGGCAGGCCUAACACAUGCAAGUCGAACGGUAACAGGAAGAAGCUUGCUUCUUUGCUGACGAGUGGCGGACGGGUGAGUAAUGUCUGGGAAACUGCCUGAUGGAGGGGGAUAACUACUGGAAACGGUGGCUAAUACCGCAUAACGUCGCAAGACCAAAGAGGGGGACCUUCGGGCCUCUUGCCAUCGGAUGUGCCCAGAUGGGAUUAGCUAGUAGGUGGGGUAACGGCUCACCUAGGCGACGAUCCCUAGCUGGUCUGAGAGGAUGACCAGCCACACUGGAACUGAGACACGGUCCAGACUCCUACGGGAGGCAGCAGUGGGGAAUAUUGCACAAUGGGCGCAAGCCUGAUGCAGCCAUGCCGCGUGUAUGAAGAAGGCCUUCGGGUUGUAAAGUACUUUCAGCGGGGAGGAAGGGAGUAAAGUUAAUACCUUUGCUCAUUGACGUUAC